rnacentral:rRNA from 1 species
UACGGGGGGGGCAAGCGUUGUUCGGAAUUACUGGGCGUAAAGGGCUCGUAGGCGGCCAACUAAGUCAGACGUGAAAUCCCUCGGCUUAACCGGGGAACUGCGUCUGAUACUGGUUGGCUUGAAUCCGGGAGAGGGAUGUGGAAUUCCUGGUGUAGCGGUGAAAUGCGCAGAUAUCAGGAGGAACACCAAUGGCGAAGGCAGCUCGCUGGAACGGUACUGACGCUGAGGCACGAAGGCCAGGGGAGCAAACGGG